rnacentral:rRNA from 1 species
CAGCCGCCGCGGGAAUACGUAGGCAGCAAGCGUUGUUCGGAACUACUGGGCGUAAAGAGUGUGUAGGCGGUGCUCUAAGUUCGGUGUGAAAUCUCCCGGCUCAACUGGGAGGGUGCGCCGGAAACUGGAGUGCUCGAGCGUGGGAGAGGAAAGCGGAAUUCCUGGUGUAGCGGUGAAAUGCGUAGAUAUCAGGAGGAACACCUGUGGUGUAGACGGCUUUCUGGACCAUUGCUGACGCUGAGACACGAAAGCGUGGGUAGCAAACAGGAUUAGAUACCCCGGUAGUCCCUGUCUCUUAUAC